rnacentral:rRNA from 1 species
GACGAACGCUGGCGGCGUGCUUAACACAUGCAAGUCGAGCGGAGCGGCGAACGGGUGAGUAACGCGUGAGUAACUGACCCCCUCCCUGGGAUAACAGUUGGCAACGGCUGCUAAUACCGGAUAGUGGGGGAUGACGCGCGUCCUAUCAGCUUGUUGGUGGGGUAGUGGACUACCAAAGCGACGACGGGUAGCCGGCCUGGGAGGGCGACCGGCCACAUGGGGCUGAGAUAGGGACCAAGCUCCUACGGGAGGCAUCGGUGGGGAAUAUGGCACAAUGGGGGAAACCCUGAUGCAGCAACGCGCGUGCGGGAUGACGGCCUUGGGGUUGUAAACCGCUUUCAGCCAUGACGCGGUAGUGGCAGAAGAAGCACCGGCUAACUACGUGCCAGCAGCCGCGGUAAUUC